CCCCAGCGCCACAAGUGGGAACCACUUUUAUUGGGUCUAAAGCACCCGUAGCCGGUUCUGUACAUGCUCUGUGAAAUCGUAGCGCUCAACGUUACGACGCGCAGAGUAGACGGCAGAACUAGGGACCAGGAGAGGCAUUCAGUAUUCCACGGGGAGCGGUAAAAUGUGAUAAUCCGUGGAGGACUACCAAUGGCGAAGGCAGAAUGCUAGAAUGGAUCCGACGGUGAGGGGUGAAAGCUAGGGGA
rnacentral:rRNA from 1 species